GUGCUUGCUUCAGCAGCAUAUAUGCUGAAAUUGGAAUGAUGCAGAUAAGAUGAGCAUGGCCCUGUGCAAGAAUGACUUACAAAUUUGUGAAGCACUCCAUAUCUUU
rnacentral:snRNA from 1 species